rnacentral:rRNA from 1 species
UACAGAGGGUGCAAGCGUUGUUCCGGAAUUACUGGGCGUAAAGCGUGCGCAGGCGGUUUGUUAAGUCCGUUGUGAAAGCCCCGAGCUCAACUUGGGAAUUGCAGUGGAUACUGGCAGGCUGGAGUACGGUAGAGGAAGGUGGAAUUCCCGGUGUAGCAGUGAAAUGCGUAGAUAUCGGGAGGAACACCGGUGGCGAAGGCGGCUCUCUGGACCGUAACUGACGCUGAGGCGCGAAAGCGUGGGGAGCAAACAGG